rnacentral:tRNA from 1 species
GCCUUUGUAGCUCAGCUGGUAGAGCGCGGGUCUGAAGAACCCGGCGUCACAAGUUCGAUCCUUGUCGAAGGCACCA